AUAGCUGGCACUCCCCGAAAUGCCUUGAGGGACAGCCUCAUACAAACGUUCAGGAGGUAGAGCACUGUUUGGACUAGGGGUCUUCACCGGCUACCAAACCCAGGCAAACUCCGAAUGCCUAGACACAACGUAUGGGAGUGAGACUGUGUGCAACAAAGUUCAUAGUCGAGAGGGGAACAGCCCAGACCGACAGCUAAGGUCCCCAAAUACCGCUAAGUGUGAAAUGAGGUGUUAUUGCAAAGACAGCCAGGAUGUUGGCUUAGAAGCAGCCACUCAUUAAAAGAGUGCGUAAUAGCUCACUGGUCGAGCAAUGAUGCGCAGACAAUGUAACGGGGCUAAGCGGUAUACCGAAGCUUCGGAUUCGUACUUUAAGUAGUACGGAUGGUAGGGGAGCAUUCCAUGGACCGGCGAAGGUAACCUGGAAGGGUUGCUGGAGGGGAUGGAAGAGAGAAUGCAGGUAUAAGUACACGAAAAGACGGGUGAGAUUCCCGUCCGCCGAAAACCUAAGGUUUCCUGGGUAAAGGUCAUCUUCCCAGGGUUAGUCGGCCCCUAAGAUGAGGCGGAAACGCGUAGUCGAUGGGAAGCUGGUUCAUAUUCCAGCACCAUGGAGAGAUUCGACGGGAUGACGCAUGAGGUGAAACCCGGCCAGAGAACGGUUGUUCUGGUCGAAGCAGUGAGCUGUUGAGAGUGGUAGGCAAAUCCGCCACUUGAGGUGAGCUGUGACAGCGAGCGAUGCUACGGCAAAGCGAAGCGGGCGUAAUCACGGUGCCAAGAAAGAGUCCCUAAGGUUCGUCUUUUCAUGACCGUACCGUAAACGGACACACGUAGGUGGGAUGAGAAAUCUAAGGCGCUCGAGAUAACUCGCGUUAAGGAACUCGGCAAAAUGCACACGUAACUUCGGGAGAAGUGUGGCCUUCGCAAGAAGGUUGCAGAGAGCAGGCCCAGGCGACUGUUUACCAAAAACACAGGUCUGUGCAAACGCGCAAGCGGAUGUAUACGGACUGACGCCUGCCCGGUGCUGGAAGGUUAAAGGGAGGAGUUAGCAGCAAUGCGAAGCCCUGAACUGAAGCCCCAGUAAACGGCGGCCGUAACUAUAACGGUCCUAAGGUAGCGAAAUUCCUUGUCGGGUAAGUUCCGACCCGCACGAAUGGUGGAACGAUCUGGGCACUGUCUCAACGCGAGACUCGGUGAAAUUUAAGUACCGGUA
rnacentral:rRNA from 1 species